GCGUCAGUAGUGCAACAGGUUAGAGCACUCGAUCCUGGAUGGAGUGAGAUGAGGGUUUGAGUCCCGCCUGACGCA